UCCUCUAAUGGACCUGUUUCUUCUGUCCUUUCCCCUUUCUUCAUAUCUUAGUUUUUCUUUUACCGAUGGUAAAAUUUCAGCGUUGUUGAUGCUAUAAUCAACCACUUGUAGUUCAACCCUUCAGGUUGUUUUAGCGUAGUUGAUGCUAUAAUCAACCAGGUAGUGCUGGCUUCCUCAGGCUUCACCGGAAAAUUUUGCAUUUUUUUUUGUCGUUUCAACCCUUUCCAGCAUUUAUCUUUUUGCCGUAGUGCGUUUAGUUUUAAUAACCAAAAAUAUUAUUUUCAUCAUCGUAGCUCCCUCUUUUGAGUAAGUACGUUUCUAUCAAGUAUCGUUAUCGGUUCUUUAUCAAUUUCGUUUUUAAUUAUCGACGACACCUUCGCUACGUCAGAGUGACGAGGUCCCCCAUUUUUAAGGCGACUUCCGGUCAGCGUCGUCUCCCGUCACUCCUGGAAUAAUCAGUAAGUCCCGGUUCACCACUCUGAAAAUUUUCUUGCCGUCUCUUGGUCAUUUUUCCACCAGUCCCUUCUAGUUUACGUGUACGCCGCUGGGCAGUGGUCACCUCCGACAGCGCAUUGGUCACUUUAAUAUCUACCCCUACCUUUGAGACGAUUCUUGGUUUUUAAGAUUUUUCCGGCGACAUUUUUCCGAGAGUGUUCACGGUGGUGAAGACUUGUGUCAUUUUUGCGCACCAAAUUUUUCGUUGCUUGAAAACCCUCAGCAGCCACUUGAGGGUUUUUCCUUUUCUUGUCUGGUACCGUGUGCGACGUCGAACCAAGCCAAGAUUUUUUGACGACGCCAUCUUGAAGGCGGCACGGCUUCUCGUUUGACUUUUUUGAAGCUCUCGAAUUUGAGGACGGCCUGGAACAUUUUCGCCGGUACGCCAGAAAUAAUUUACCGCUAAUCGGAACAUCACUAUCUCUGGAAACGCCCAAGGUCAGAUUUUUCCAAUCUAUGAAUUUGCGCCCUACACGUCAAAUAUAGUACCAUCGCCCUUCAGGCACUAGUCUAAAGAAUUAUUCUUAGUUAUAAUUAAUUCGUUGUAAACCAAGCUUACGUAAGCGCGGCCUUUAAUUGUGUCGAAAUAAGUAGUGUGAAUAUUUUAAUCUUUUUUUUUUCUUUUUUUCUUUCUUCCUAAUUUGAUAAAUCGGUUGUCC